AGGGGGGUGCCCGAGCGGCAAAGGGGGCGGAUAGUAAAUCCGCUGGCUUUUGAAGCCUACGUAGGUUCGAGUCCUAACCCCCCCUA
rnacentral:tRNA from 1 species